GCUUUAUAGUUCAAUGGUAGAACGGCUGCCACACAGGCGGCUCACUCGGGUUCGAUUCCCGAUAAAGCA
rnacentral:tRNA from 1 species